UACGGAGGGGGCUAGCGUUGUUCGGAAUUACUGGCGCUAAGACGCACGUAGGCGGACUGUUAAGUCGGGGGUGAAAUCCUGGGGCUCAACCUCAGAAUUGCCUCCGAUACUGGCAGUCUCGAGUGCGGGAGAGGUGAGUGGAAUUCCCAGUGUAGAGGUGAAAAUUCGUAGAUAUUGGGAAGACCACCAGUGGCGAAGGCGGCUUGCCAGAACGCGC
rnacentral:rRNA from 1 species